GGCUUUGGGCGGAACUGGCUUUGUUGACCGGGAGAAACGAGAUGGGGGUGAAGCUGGAGAUAUUUCGGAUGAUAAUCUACCUCACUUUCCCUGUGGCUAUGUUCUGGGUUUCCAAUCAGGCCGAGUGGUUUGAGGACGAUGUCAUACAGCGCAAGAGGGAGCUGUGGCCACCUGAGAAGCCAUGAGUAAGGAACCGAGAGCAGAGGAGUAGAUGGUUUCCUUAUUGCCUUCUCCUGGAAGAGUGAAGCGGAUCCCACGCGGACCCCUUUCUUCAAGAGAUAGAGGAAUUCAAAGAGAGGUUACGGAAGCGGCGGGAGGAGAAGCUCCUUCGCGACGCCCAGCAGAACUCCUGAGGCCUCCAAGUGGGAGUCCUAGCCCCUCCCCUGAUGAAAUAUACAUAUACUCAGUUCCUUGUUAUUCAUUUAAGUGUUUUAUUCUUUUAUCAGUUUUUGGGGGCCGAGUGAGACCCAGGAUGCCUCAGGCCCUCAGGGGGCUUGUGUCGGGGGCUGGGGGCUGCUGUUCCGACGGAAGCCGAGAGCGGUCGGGUCCUGAGGGGUGAGCAGGGGUUGGGGACUGAGGGUCCCAGCUCGUUUCUGUGCUCCGUCCUGUGGAUGAAGAGGGGUCAGCCAGGGGGAGGGCUCAAGGGCAGUGCCGGCCACAGGUGGCGAACAAUGGAGAGAGGGUGCAGGUAGCCACCGUGUCCCACCUCAUUGUGAGCACUGGUCUAUGUUUACCCUCAAUAUCUGCCAUUUA